rnacentral:rRNA from 1 species
UACGGAGGGCGCAAGCGUUGUUCGGAAUUACUGGGCGUAAAGCGCGUGUAGGCGGCCAGGUAAGUCGGAUGUGAAAUCCCGGGGCCCAACCCCGGAACUGCACUCGAUACUGCCUGGCUGGAGUCCCGGAGAGGAUGGCGGAAUUUCCGGUGUAGAGGUGAAAUUCGUAGAUAUCGGAAGGAACACCAGUGGCGAAGGCGGCCAUCUGGACGGUGACUGACGCUGAGACGCGAAAGCGUGGGGAGCAAACAGG